rnacentral:snRNA from 1 species
GGAUGUGACGGCGAUCUGGCGGCAACAUCUGUCACCCCAUUGAUCACCAGGGUUGAUUUGGCUGAUCUCUACUGGCUAGGCAGGUGUCCCCUUCCUCCCUCACCACUCCAUGUGCGUUCCUCCCAAAGCUGCCCGCUCAGUCAAAGAAGAUGACUUUUACUGAGAGAAGAGGGCUGUUCUUCAGCCCAGGGUGUAGGAGUAGCUGCUCCACCCUCCUAGAACCUCCAGACAAGCCGUCCAGAAGCCUUAUAAUGUGGUCUUCUGAUAAUUUUUAUAAUUCGAGCUUCUCAGACACCUCAUCCUGAGUUUUGUUCCAAAGCA